rnacentral:rRNA from 1 species
GACGAACGCUGGCGGCGUGCUUAACACAUGCAAGUCGAACGGAAAGGCCUGCUUUCCCUUGUGGAUUGCGGGUACUCGAGUGGCGAACGGGUGAGUAACACGUGAGUGAUCUGCCCCCAACUUGGGUAUAAGCCUGGGAAACUGGGUCUAAUUCCCGAUAGGACUGCAGGGUGGUGCCUGUGGUGGAAAACGAUUUUCUAGUGGUUGGGGAUGAGCUCGCGGCCUAUCAGCUUGUUGGUGGGGUAAUGGCCUACCAAGGCGGCGACGGGUAGCCGGCCUGAGAGGGUGGACGGCCAAAUUGGGACUGAGAUACGGCCCAGACUCCUACGGGAGGCAGCAGUGGGGAAUAUUGCACAAUGGGCGGAAGCCUGAUGCAGCGACGCCGCGUGGGGGAUGACGGCCUUCGGGUUGUAAACUCCUUGCGACCGCGAGGAAGCCACCUGGUUGGAAGGGUGGUGACGGUAGUGGUAGAAGAAGCACCGGCUAACUACGUG